rnacentral:rRNA from 1 species
UACGGAGGGUGCAAGCGUUGCUCGGAAUUAUUGGGCGUAAAGGGUAGGUAGGUGGUCUCAUUUGUCUGGGGUGAAAGCCUUGAGCUUAACUCAAGAAGUGCCCCAGAAACGGUGAGACUAGAGUCUUGGAGAGGGUCGUGGAAUUCCCGGUGUAGCGGUGAAAUGCGUAGAGAUCGGGAGGAACACCAGAGGCGAAAGCGGCGACCUGGACAAGUACUGACACUCAACUACGAAAGCGUGGGGAGCAAACAGGG